GUCUGCCAAGAUAGUCUUAUAAAAGGUAACAUAGCCCGAUCUCGUGUAAUCUUGGAAGCUAAGCAGGGUCGGGCCUGGUUAGUACUUGGAUGGGAGAGCACCUAAGAAGACCAGGUGCUGUAGGCA
ensembl:rRNA 5S_rRNA 5S ribosomal RNA